CCACAAUGGGCCACCCCUUCCCACCCUGCAGGAGCAGUGUGGGCUCCCAAGAGGAAAGGAAGAGGAGAUGCUAAAGAGGCACAGAUUCUCCUUCGAAACUCAACCGUCCUAUUAAACCACUCCUCCUUCCCAGGGAAGAAUGAGCGGGUGGAGAGCAAUCGGGAGUGUUACGCUGUUGGGCUUCUUUCACCAGGAAGAAAACAGCAGGAGUGGAAAGACGAAGAUUCUCUAGCACAAGUCAAGCGUGGUUUGGUCAGACCAAAGCCCUCCGGGAAAGAUUUGGGUAAAAAACUUGACCUCAGAGAAAAGCCACUGAAGUUUAUUUGUUCCCCCGAAGAAAAGCAAUAGAGAAUUGCCAACUGUGAUGGGCACAUCUCAGUCUUUGCUGGUUUAUCUUGCUCAUCAGCCACGCCAAGGAGGGGCCUCUGUGAAGCUGAACUUCCCACCCACCUCACCCAAGCCACGUGGAGACAUAACCCAAGGCUUUGAAAAUAAAAUGUGGGUCUUCCCUGGUGGCGCAGUGGUUGGGAAUCCACCUGUCAACGCAGGGCACACGGGUUCGAGCCCUGGUCUGGGAAGAUCCCACAUGCCACGGAGCAAUGAAGCCCGUGCGCCACAACUACUGAGCCUGAGCCCUAGAGCCCGCGAGCCACAACUACUGAGCCCGCAUGCCACAACUACUGAAGCCCACGCGCCUAGAGCCCGUGCUCCGCAACGAGAGGUCACUGCAAUGAGAAGCCCGCACACCGCAACGAAGAGUAGCCUCUGCUCGCUGCAACUAGAGAAAAGCCCGUGCACAGCAACGAAGAUGCAAUG